UACGGUCACAUUACAUUGAAACACCGGCUCCCGUACGAUCACCAAAAUAAAGCAACGUUGAGACCGGUCAGUAUUUAGAUGGGUGACCGCUUGGGAAUAGAAGGUUCUGUAA